rnacentral:rRNA from 1 species
GGGGAAUAUUGCACAAUGGGCGAAAGCCUGAUGCAGCAACGCCGCGUGAGUGAUGACGGUCUCCGGAUUGUAAAGCUCUGUCUUUUGGGACGAUAAUGACGGUACCAAAGGAGAAAGCCACGGCUAACUACGUGCCAGCAGCCGCGGUAAUACGUAGGUGGCAAGCGUUGUCCGGAUUUACUGGGCGUAAAGAAUGUGUAGGCGGAUACUUAAGUGAGAUGUGAAAGCCCCGGGCUCAACCUGGGGACUGCAUUUCAAACUGGGUAGCUAGAGUGCAGGAGAGGAAAGCGGAAUUCCUAGUGUAGCGGUGAAAUGCGUAGAGAUUAGGAAGAACAGCAGUGGCGAAGGCGGCUUUCUGGACUGUAACUGACGCUGAGGCAUGAAAGCGUGGGGAGCAAAC